rnacentral:rRNA from 1 species
GAUGAACGCUGGCGGCGUGCCUAAUACAUGCAAGUCGAGCGAACGGACGAGAAGCUUGCUUUUCUGAUGUUAGCGGCGGACGGGUGAGUAAAACGUGGAUAACCUACCUAUAAGACUGGGAUAACUUCGGGAAACCGGAGCUAAUACCGGAUAAUAUUUUGAACCGCAUGGUUCAAAAGUGAAAGACGGUCUUGCUGUCACUUAUAGAUGGAUCCGCGCUGCAUUAGCUAGUUGGUAAGGUAACGGCUUACCAAGGCAACGAUGCAUAGCCGACCUGAGAGGGUGAUCAGCCACACUGGAACUGAGACACGGUCCAGACUCCUACGGGAGGCAGCAGUAGGGAAUCUUCCGCAAUGGGCGAAAGCCUGACGGAGCAACGCCGCGUGAGUGAUGAAGGUCUUCGGAUCGUAAAACUCUGUUAUUAGGGAAGAACAUAUGUGUAAGUAACUGUGCACAUCUUGACGGUACCUAAUCAGAAAGCCCCGGCUAACUACGUG